rnacentral:rRNA from 1 species
UACGGAGGGUGCAAGCGUUAUCCGGAUUCACUGGGUUUAAAGGGUGCGUAGGUGGGUCUGUAAGUCAGUGGUGAAAUCUCCGAGCUUAACUCGGAAACUGCCAUUGAUACUAUAGGUCUUGAAUUAUCUGGAGGUAAGCGGAAUAUGUCAUGUAGCGGUGAAAUGCUUAGAUAUGACAUAGAACACCAAUUGCGAAAGGCAGCUUACUACGGAUAUAUUGACACUGAGGCACGAAAAGCGUGGGGGAUCAAAACAGG